AUGGGCCGCUUGGACGACCACGCCAAGAGAAGGAUCGUGGAGCUGCGCAGGGCGGGGCUGAGUUUCCGCAAAAUCAAGAAGGUGCUGGAGCUGGACAACAUCCGAGUGACACCGCAGGCCGUGUAUCUCUUCCUCAAGAGGAAGAGUGUGGAGCUGGGGCCAGCAGCGGGUGGCUGGGGUGAAGAGCAGCCCUGGCCCCCACUGCAGGGGCACGAGGCUGAGCUACACCAGUCUCCAGGCCCCCGGCCCCCCACAUUGCCCAGUGUGGCUCCCGCUGGCGGCCAGGAUGGCAAGGAGGGCACCCAGAUCGUCAGCGUGGCCUCGUUCUGCCAGGGCAGCAGGCAGCCAGGGGGGGCCCUGCCUGUGGGACUGCCUCCUGGGAAGGGUGACAGCGGUUCCACGGGUGCCCUCCCGGCUCUGGGGAGCUGCCAAAUACCAGGGACCCCAUCUGCCCCCACACAGCCGCUGCCUGUCCAAGGGCGGCUCGUCGUGCCCCCUGCCAAGAACCCAGCCCUGGUGGCAAAGAAGAUGAUCGUGGACAGGGCUCUUCUCCCGCAGAACGAGGUCAAAGAUGCCAGCACACAGACCACCCCACUGAACCCCACGAGCCCUGGAAAUCAACACCUUGCUUGGGGCGAAGCAGUGCUUCCUCCUGCUCCUGGUUCCCACACCGCUGCCGAGAAGCUCGACGCUGUACACGCAGAGAUCCAGAAGCUGAGCCAGGCGCUGCACGCGGUGCUGGAGAGGCAGUGCCGCCUGGAGCGCCAGCAGGAGCACCAGCAGCGACUGCAGCAGGAGAUGCUGAUGAUGCUGCAGCAGCUGAGCUCCACCGUGAGCCACGGCGCUGUGCCAGCCAACCAGCCCUGUGUCCCCUUCAGCAGCGUGGCAGAGCCCUCGCCCACCGUGCCAAACUUCAGCCAGUUCAAGAUGGAGCUCAUCUGACCCCCACGUGAUGCCAAGGUGCUCUACCAGGGCUGCCCCGUCCGCAGGGCAGGCCAGCACUGCCAGAGGAUGAGGUCCUGAAGCCUUCAGAGGCUGUGGCAGCUGCCUGAGGGCCACGUGGGGUGUCCAGCAGAGAAGGUCAUUGCUGCUUCCCUAUUGCUCUGCCUCAGCCUUGUUGAUUGAAAGGGGUUGCUGGGCACAAGAAGGAAGGGAAAGCUUGUGUCUCCCAUGCUGCCCCUCCUGGCUGGCCUUGGAGCUGACCAGUCCAUCCACGGACUGUAGCAGCUCGCGUGGGCUGCAAGUAGAAGAUGCAGCUGGGAGGGACACAGCAGGGUGGUGGUCUCGAGGUGAGGCUUCCUCUCAGGAGGGUCAGUGUUGUGACAAUCAUAGGAACACUCCCCCUGCAGGGUCUUGUUCAGUAAAAGGCUAUGGUUGAGAAACAUAGUUGAGAAAGCGUGGGAUCUUAUUCUUCGUUUUAUCUCCCUCACCCU
rnacentral:lncRNA from 1 species